GACGAACGCUGGCGGCGUGCCUAAUACAUGCAAGUCGAGCGAAUCAAUAGGAGCUUGCUCCUGUUGGUUAGCGGCGGACGGGUGAGUAACACGUGGGCAACCUGCCUGUAAGACUGGGAUAACACCGGGAAACCGGUGCUAAUACCGGAUAAUCCUUUUCCUCUCAUGAGGAAAAGCUGAAAGUCGGUUUCGGCUGACACUUACAGAUGGGCCCGCGGCGCAUUAGCUAGUUGGUGAGGUAACGGCUCACCAAGGCGACGAUGCGUAGCCGACCUGAGAGGGGGGUCGACCACACUGAGACUGAUACGCGGACCAGACUCCUACGGGAGGCAGCAGUAGGGAAUCUUCCACAGUGGACGAAAGUCUGAUGGAGCAACGCCGCGUGAGCGAUGAAGGCCUUCGGGUCGUAAAGCUCUGUUGUUAGGGAAGAACAAGUAUCGGAGUAACUGCCGGUACCUUGACGGUACCUAACCAGAAAGCCACGGCUAACUACGUGCCAGCAGCCGCGGUAAGAC
rnacentral:rRNA from 1 species